rnacentral:rRNA from 1 species
UACGUAGGGGGCAAGCGUUGUCCGGAUUUAUUGGGCGUAAAGAGCGUGUAGGCGGUCUGGUAGGUCCGCUGUGAAAACUCGAGGCUCAACUUCGAGACGCCGGUGGAAACCAUCAGACUAGAGUCCGGAAGAGGAGAGCGGAAUUCCUGGUGUAGCGGUGAAAUGCGCAGAUAUCAGGAAGAACACCCGUGGCUAAGGCGGCUCUCUAGUACGGUACUGACGCUGAGACGCGAAAGCGUGGGGAGCGAACAGG